UAAGGAAUAUUGGACAAUGGGCGCAAGCCUGAUCCAGCCAUGCCGCGUGAAGGAUUAAGGUCCUCUGGUUUGUAAACUUCUUUUAUAAGGGACGAUAAAAGGGAAUUCUUUCUCACUUGACGGUACCUUAUGAAUAAGCACCGGCUAACUCCGUGCCAGCAGCCGCGGUAAUACGGAGGGUGCAAGCGUUAUCCGGAUUCACUGGGUUUAAAGGGUGCGUAGGCGGGUAUUUAAGUCAGUGGUGAAAUCCUAGAGCUUAACUCUAGAACUGCCAUUGAUACUAUUAAUCUUGAAUAUUGUGGAGGUAAGCGGAAUAUGUCAUGUAGCGGUGAAAUGCUUAGAUAUGACAUAGAACACCUAUUGCGAAGGCAGCUUACUACGCAAAUAUUGACGCUGAGGCACGAAAGCGUGGGGAUCAAACAGG
rnacentral:rRNA from 1 species